GACAGAGGGUGCGAGCGUUGUUCGGAAUCACUGGGCGUAAAGCGCACGUAGGCGGAUUGCUAAGUCAGGGGUGAAAUCCUGGAGCUCAACUCCAGAACUGCCUUUGAUACUGGCGACCUUGAGUCCGGGAGAGGUGAGUGGAACUGCGAGUGUAGAGGUGAAAUUCGUAGAUAUUCGCAAGAACACCAGUGGCGAAGGCGGCUCACUGGCCCGGUACUGACGCUGAGGUGCGAAAGCGUGGGGAGCAAACAGG
rnacentral:rRNA from 1 species